rnacentral:rRNA from 1 species
GACGAACGCUGGCGGCGUGCCUAACACAUGCAAGUCGAACGGAGUUGUUCCUUCGGGGACAGCUUAGUGGCGAACGGGUGAGUAACGCGUGAGAAACCUGCCUUUCAGUGGGGGACAACAGUUGGAAACGACUGCUAAUACCGCAUAAUGUGUUUGGGGGCAUCCCCGAACAACCAAAGCUUAAUGUGCUGAAAAGAUGGUCUCGCGUCUGAUUAGCUAGAUGGCGGGGUAACGGCCCACCAUGGCGACGAUCAGUAGCCGGUCUGAGAGGAUGAACGGCCACAUUGGGACUGAGAUACGGCCCAGACUCCUACGGGAGGCAGCAGUGGGGAAUAUUGGGCAAUGGGCGAGAGCCUGACCCAGCAAUGCCGCGUGAA